rnacentral:rRNA from 1 species
UACAGAGGGGCAAGGCGUUGUUCGGAAUUACUGGGCGUAAAGGGCGCGUAGGCGGCCCGCUAAGUCGAACGUGAAAUCCCUGGGCUCAACCCAGGAACUGCGUCCGAUACUGGCAGGCUUGAAUCCGGGAGAGGGAUGUGGAAUUCCAGGUGUAGCGGUGAAAUGCGUAGAUAUCUGGAGGAACACCGGUGGCGAAGGCGGCAUCCUGGACCGGUAUUGACGCUGAUGG